GUAUUUUGAGGUAAAUGUGAUGUAAGAAAGAAAUGAUGAAAUGAAAUGUAAGGAAUUUGAAAAUGAACAAGAUGAAUGCAAUGUAUAUGAUCAAAAAUGAAUCAUAGUACUUAUAAAUGUUUAGUUUUCCUUUCUUUCACUGAUGGCUAUUGCUUACCCUUGCGUAAGCCGUUUGUGUAUGCUUCCGCUAGUACUUUUCUCUAUUGAUGAAAAUGUACAUGUGAUGAGCCUUGGGCGGAUAGGGAAAACUCUGUCCGUUCGGCGUCUGUUUGACGUGCUCGGGUCGGGCCAAAUUGGUAUCGGUCCCGGGGCGUGACACAAAGCCUCCCCUGUACGUCCUAGGCGUCGCAAUUAGUACAAUACAAGAGGUUCAAAACAAGAACAGUAUUCAUACAAGAUUACAUAAGGAAGGUAUCAAACAACAUAACACAUCCUAUGUUAUUACAAGCAUUCCCAUUAGAUUCAUUUUACAUUACAUUCAACUUCCAAAUGCAAUUAAGUUAUUACAAUUAAUAUUACAAAUUUGAUACAUUGUGUUUCUUUUCCUUUCCUAUACCCCUAGACUAUGCCGACUCGGGGUACCGCUGUCUCUGGUCUCUUGGGUAGGGCGCUAUCUAUGGAGCUACGCCUUGCCUCGCGCCGCCGCGCCGCUCACGUGCGAACCUGUAACACCCCAAAACAACGUGGGGUGAGAACGAACUCCAUGGUUCCCAGUGGGUACGGCCACCUAAGGGAAAAGCAAGAUCGAUAGGUCCAAGGAGGCACUGCAAUCAUGUUAGUCCACAAACAUCUACAGAUAUAUAUAUCGUAAUGUAAUUAUGCAACUAGCAGUAACAUGCCUCGCAAUAUGCAAUAUGAAUAUAUGUAAUCAACUAGUAGAUCUAUUGAUUUUAUGUUCAACUUUGCUAACUUUAGCUCAUGUCAUUCAAUUCUAAGGUUUCUACUAUCUUAGGUUCACAACUCAAGUGCCACUUGCUUCUAAGGUCUCUAUUACCUUUGCUCUUGCUUCUAUCACUAGCUUAUAGGUUUCCAUUAACCUAAUCAAGCUAACCAUCCGACUCAACCUCGAGUCAAUCAUCCGCGAAUAGUCUGCGCACUGGCUGCACCACAGCCUAGCUGCCGUCACAGCCUACUGCACCUCUAACUUAACCAUAUGGCGGCGAACUCAUCGCAUCGAACCCAACAAUGACUAAAGUCAUGACUUAGCCAUCUGGCGGCGAACUCAUCGCAUCACAUCCAACAAUGGUUCAAGUCGUGACUUAGUCAUCUGGCAGCGACCACAUCGCCCUUACCCAAAGCUAUCAAGGAUUGGCCGAGGCCGACGAGUGUGACCGAGAUUCGGAGCUUCAUUGGUUUGGCCGGCUACUACCGACGGUUUGUUGAGGGAUUUGCAAAGUUAUCUACUCCCCUCACGAGGCUCACGCAUAAAGGAACUAAGUUCAUUUGGAAUAAUGCUUGUGAAAGGAGCUUUCAAGAGUUGAAGCAGCGAUUGACGAUUGCCCCGAUCCUUACCUUGCCGACUGCUGGAGCAGGGUAUGUGAUUUAUAGUNUUGUGCUUGUACCGGUACAAGGUUGAUGGUUGUAUCGGUACAGCCAUCGGAGCUUGUACCGGUACAGAGCCGCAGAGCCCAGCAACCCGAGCCUCGGGUUUGGAUUUCGUGGACCUUGUACCGGUACAAGGGUCCGUGUACCGGUACAAGGCGGCAGAUUUUGAGCAGUUCGAAACUGCAAGGGCUUUUUCGCGAUUGUAGCCUCUCUAUAACAGCACCCUCGCCCCUAGGGCUUUUCUUAUGCUGGAACCACAGGGAAACAAGGUGAGGAGCCCAUCCAUUCCCUCAUUUUGAUUUUCCUUGGUUAUAUUGGAGAUUUUUGAGGAUUAAUGCCUCAUUUUGCUUCUUGUUGCAUCUUGGAGGCUUUUUCCACCAUUGGAGAGGACUUGGAGCUUUGUUGGAGGCUUGUUGGAGGAAAGAUCUUCCACCCCAUUUGAUUUGGAGCCCAAGUUGAGACUUCUAGAGAGGUUAGCAACAUGAUUUGAGCUUUUGAUCCAUGUUUUGCUAAGUUUUUGAGAUGAAACCCUAGAUUUGAUACUUAGGGCUUAUUUUGGGUAUUUUGAAUCUAGGGCUUUUGGGGCUAAAUUAGUUGGUUUAGAACCUUCCUUGGGCUUGGAGUGGAAGGGUUCUAGCUCUCUUUUAGAGCUUUGGAAGAGAUUUCUUCUCUUGAGGUGAGAUUUGACCCCUUUUGCUUCUAGGUUAAUGUUUGAUAUUAUAAGAUGAUCGUAAUGCCCGUGUAUCUUGUCGCUCAAUACUUUUAGGGUAUUUUGAGACUCGGGGACAACUUUGUUUGGCGAAACGAGGCACUACGCGACGGUUCGGUGGGUUUGACCUAGCCUAUAUAUGAGAAAUUCUCAUAUAUGGUUAUAUAUGUUCCGUAAAUUGAAAAAGCAUGCAUGUUCAUACUAAAUGUAUUUAUUAUGAUUUUUAGAAUGCUUAAAAUGUAUAUGUUACAUAUGAUAAAAUUUUGGACCUCUAUGUAGUAGAGAGUUGCUUGGGAGAUCUAUGGUUGCAUUUAGCAUUCUUUAUGAGACUUGGUUCCAUGUUUCUAUAGUGUAAAUGAGUUCGGAUUCAUGCAUUUAAACUUAAGUUUACUUGUGACAUGAAAGAUGACAAAAUUGCCAUUUAGAAGGUGUGUGAACUAGAGAGCUAAUGUCAUCAAGCGGCAUUGAGCUCGGGACAUGUGUGAACCUAGUGGAUAGGGCCAUUGAGGGAUGUGGAACAUGCUUAAACAUUAAAUGUCUAAGUAUCAUAAAGGGGCACCAGACCUAGAGAAUGUUGGAACUUCAUUUGUGACUUAGAACUAGAUCUUCCAAAUGCUAGUGACUAUACCAUGUUAGAGACAUGAGGGUUGGAUACUUGAGACUUGGACUAUGCUUGCUUGCCAUUUGUGCUCAUUCGCACAUGCUUGUGAGGGUCGCUCCCUACAAGCCGGCACUCCAGAGUUAGCCUUCGCGACCUAUGUUCGCUCGUGCGAUAUUGAGAAGCCUACGGGGUCGAGUGGGACAGACACAUUCCAAGAGUAGGGAUGUUGGGCUACCACAGGCACUUAGGCGGCAUAAGCUGAACUACCUUUGGUAGGUCCUUGAUUGGAAAUGAAAAUCGACACGGUGUUGAAAAUGAAUAAUCGCUACUAAAUAGGCUUAGUAGUUGGAUUAGGUGACAUGCUCAUGACAUAGCAAUGAGGUCUAUAGUACACUUGCCGGUUUCAUGCAUUGCAUCAUAGUAUACUGGGUUAUCUUGAUAGAGCGUACUCCUUAUAUUUUGGCAUAUGGUAUUGUGAGGUUUACUUCUUCAUUUUGUUGAGGCAUAUUAGUAUGCAUUGGAUAUGUUACUUUAUGAUAGCGUAGAUGUACACCACCAUGACAUCAUGCUUAUUGGAGACAUAGUAGUAUAGCAUUUCAUUCAUGUUUUCUUUCAGCAGUUUUUGUGUUCGCUAUUUAUUGCAUAUUACUAUAUGUCGUUACUUACCCUUUUCUUCUGGGGCCUAGUGGUGCAUUGAGCUGAGGUCAGUAAUUGCCCACUGGAAACUAUAAAUUAUAGUUCUCACGCCCUCUUUUUCUCGAUGUUUUUCAGAGCCUUCCACGCAGGGUGAGGCCAGGAAUCGCGGGAAGGGAGUUGCUUCGAGCUAGCUUCCUUCGAGGAUGAGUUGCUAGGUGGUCUACCUCUCGAUGUUUACUUUUUGGCGAGAGGUUGAGGGUUGUACCAGUGUACUAGAGACCACCAUUUUUGUACUAGAGACAGAUAUUGUACUACUUAUGGUUUUUUUUAUUGUCUAGCUUUAUUUCUAUACUUUGGUGUAGAUGAUAGAACUUUACUCGCUCUGAUAUCAUUAGUUGCUAGUUAUUUCACUUCUUUUAUUUGUUCUAUCUCUUGUUUACUUCCGCUUUUGUUGUAGAUGCCUUAUAUGUGUAGACAUAUGGCGGGUCUGGGCACGCUACCGGGAGGGCCUUCGUCGGUCCCGGGGCGUGACACCUGUGGUAGCCCGACAUCCCUACUCUUGGAAUGUGUCUGUCCCACUCGACCCCGUAGGCUUCUCAAUAUCGCACCAGCGAACAUAGGUCGCGAAGGCUAACUCUGGAGUGCCGGCUUGUAGGAAGCGACCCUCACAAGCAUAUGCGAAUGAGCACAAAUGGCAAGCAAAUAUAGUCCAAGUCUCAAGUAUCCAACCCUCAUGUCUCUAACAUGGUAUAGUCACUAGCAUCUCGAAGAUCUAGGUCUAAGUCACAAAUGAAGUUCCAACAUUCUCUAGGUCUAGUGCCCCUUUAUGACACUUAGACAUUUAAUGUUUAAGCAUGUUCCACAUCCCUCAAUGGCCCUAUCCACUAGGUUCACACAUGUCCCGAGCUUAAUGCCGCUUGAUGACAUUAGCUCUCUAGUUCACACACCUUCUAGUUCAACAACUCUAAAUGGCAAUUUGGUCAUCUUUCAUGUCACAAGUAAACUUAAGUUUAAAUGCAUGAAUCCGAACUCAUUUACACUAUAGAAGUAUGAAACCAAGUCUCAUAAGGAAUGCUAAAUGCAACCAUAGAUUUCCCCAAGCAACUCUCUACUACAUAGAGGUCCAAAAUUUCAUCAUGUAUAACAUAUGCAUUUUAAGCAUUCUAAAAAUCAUAAUAAAUACAUUUAGUAUGAAUACGCAUGCUUUUCCAAUUUACGGAACAUAUAUAACCAUAUGUGAGAAUUUCUCAUAUUAUAGGCUAGGUCAAACCCACCGAACCGUCGCGUAGUGCCUCGUUUCGCCGAACAAAGUUAUACACGAGUCUCAAAUCACCCUAAAAGUAUUGAGCGAAGAGAUACACGGGCAUUACGAUCAUCUAUAAGAUCAAACAUUAACAAUUAUAGCACAAGGGCUAAAACUCACCUAAUGAGUGGGAAAUCUCUCCCAAGCUCCAAAAGAGAGCUAAAUCCCUUCCAAUCCAAUCUAGGAAAAGGUUCUAAUCCAAAAGAUUUAGCCCCAAAAGCCAUAGAAUCAAAAUGCCCAAAAUAAACCCUAAUUCACCAAUCUAGGGUUUCAUCUUGAAUCCAUCAACAAAAAUCAAAUUUAGAGGGAGAGAGCAAGUAGAUUACCUCUUAGAAGCUCCAAUCCAAGCUCUAAGCUCUCAAAGUCCAAGGAUCUCCCCUCAACAAAGCUCCAAAACAAAGCCCCAAAGGUGGAAAAGCCUCCAAUCAAGCAAAAGAAGCAAAAGAGAGGUUUAAUCUCUUAAAAUCCUACCAAAAUCCAAAUAGAUCAAAAGGAAAUCAAAGAGGGCUCUCUUACCUCUCCUCUUGCUGGUCCCAAGCUCAGGAAAAGACCCCUAGGACGUGGGGGUACUAAUAAAAAGUCCACAAUCGCAAAAAGCCCCCUGCAGUUCAAACUGCAUGAAAUCAGCCCCCUUGUACCGGUACACGGGCUCUUGUACCGGUACAAGGUCCACGAAAUCCAAACCCGAGGCUCGGGUUGCUGGGCUCUGCGGCUCUGUACCGGUACAAGCUCCGAUGGCUAUACCGGUACAACCAUCAACCUUGGUACAAGCACAACCUUGUACCGGUACAAGCCCGCCAGAACUCAAUCCGAGAGUGAGCCAAAUCCCGUUUUCUCGGGUUUUGGUGCAAGGCUUUGUACCACAAAUCUCGGGACACGUGCCAUAGGUCGGAACACAGUCAACGACCCACUAGAAAAUCUGGAAAAGAUCAGAACACGGCCAAUCACUCGAACCUCGCAAUUUGCAAAGGUCUAGUGUGUUACAAAAGUACUCUCUUUAUUUCACUUGUAUAUCUUGUGGAUUACUUGCUCUUCUUGUUGUUGGCACUGUUUGUGCCCUCGUUGAAUGUGUAUGUUUAGAAUUUAAAGUCCUGGGUAAAUUCUUGUACACAUUCCUGUCGUUGAGCCUUGGGCGGACAAGGGAGGUGCUGUCCGUUUGGCGGUCCGUCGCUGCGGCCGAAUCGUGCCAAAUUGGUAGUGGUUUCGAGGCGGGGCGUGACAAUGUCAUAUGCACUACAUGCAACAUGAUCUCAAUCAAAUGUAAGAAUGCUAACUAUAUGCAAGGUUCCAAAUAUGAACAGUUCUCUACUACAUAGAGGUCCAAUGUACUUUAUACAUAAUAUGCACAUAUUAAGCAUUCUAAAAUUCUCAAAUAUUCUAUCUAGUAAGAAUAUGCAUGCAUUUUUAUUUUACGAAAAGUAAAACCCAUUAUAGGGAUGAUUUAUCCCAUUUUGGUGAGGCCAAACCCACCGAGAGUUCCACUCGGCCUUCGUUUGCGCCGACGAAGGUGCCCACAAGCUUCCUAGCCCCCUAAAGGUUAAAGUAGGAGCGAUACACAAACGUUACGAACAACGAAUAGGUUAAACAUUAACCAACUCAACAUAAGGCUAAAAACUCACCGAAUGCGAAGGGUGCUCUUUCGAUCUCCAAACGGGAGUUAGAGCCCUUCCAAACCAACCUACACGAAGGUUCUAAACCCAUCAAUUGGGCUCCAAAAGCCCUAGAUCAAAAAUUCCCAAAUCAAACCCUAAAUCCUCAUUUCUAGGAUUUCUAAACAAAAAUAAAGUAAAAUAUGAAUCUAAUGAGAGAAACAUGUUACCAACCUUUAUAGAAGCUCCCAACUAGGCUAGAAGUCAACUAGGGUUGAAUAUCUCUCCUUCAACAAGCUCAACUCCAAGCCUCAAGCUUUCUCCCAUGGUGGAAAUAGCACCAAGUAGCAAAAAGGAGCAAAAAGAGAGGAUUAAACCUCGAAAAAUUCCAACAAAAAUAAAGAAAAUCAAAGAGGGAGAAUACAGAGCUCCCUUACCUUCCUCUCCACUGGUUCCAAGCUCAAGGAACACCAGGGGGCGUGGGGUACUAAUAUAGUGAAGUUACAAUCCCAAAAACAACCCUGCAGUUCAAGCAGUCUGCGGACUACACUGUGUACCGGUACACGUGGUUGCGUACCGGUACACACCCCACGAAAAUGCGAAACCCGAGCCUCGGGUUGGCUGAGAAGCUGCCUGUGUACCGGUAUACGGCCCCGCGUACCGGUACAACCAUUACCCCGUACCGGUAUAGCCAUCAACCAUGUACCGGUACACAGCCUGCUGAAGGCUACCCGAGAGCACACCAAUAAUCCAACUUUUUGGGUUUUGGUGCAAAGUUUUAAACCACAAAUCUCAGGAUACGAGCCAUAGGUCGGAACACUGUCGAUAACCCUCAAGAAUAUCUGAAAAAACUCAGAUUACACAUCAAACACUCGAACCUUGCAAUUUGUAAAAGCCCAGUGUGUUACACACAUGAUAUCAAGUUCAUUCGAACUCUAACACAUAUACUUAGAGUUCAUCCGACUAACUCUAAUACAUGCCCUUAGGGUCUGGUUAACCUUUUACUCUAGCACAUAUACCUGGAGUGGAAGUCAAACCAUGCUCAACUAGUCCUAACACAUACACUUAGGGCCUAGUCAGCCUUUUGCUCUAGCACAUCUAUCUAGAGUGAAAUCCAUAUCCGAUCGAGCUCUAAUACAUAUACUUAGAGCUUAUGUAAAUCAAAUCCGACGAAACCUAACAUAAUAACUCAAGGCUUAGUCAGAUCCUCACUCUAGCACAUAUAACUAGAGUGAAAAAUAUAUUAAACUCGGUUAAUCCUGAUAUAUACACUCAGGAAUUAGCCACUCUCUACUUUCGGGUAAUAUCAAAUCCAACCUACCUCAAUACAUAUACUUGGGGUUUGGUCACUCUAAGACAUAUACUUAGAGCCAAUUAGACUCUAAUACAUAGAGUUUAAUAUUGACUAGGUCUUAACACAUAUACUUAGGACCUAGUCAAUUUCAAAUUCAACUGAAUCCUAAUACAUAUACUUAGGAUUCAAUAAACCAAGAUACGAUUCAUUCAAUUCCAUCUAUAAAGGUCUCUUAAUCGAAGGUGCCCCAAUUUACAGGGGGUAAUUAACAAUAGAUGCUUGCAUCUAUUGGAAGCCAUGAAUCCGUAAUACCUGAUACCCACAUACAUAUAGAUACUCAUCUGAAUCAUGAAUACUACCCCACGGCCUAAAAUCCAUCGACCGUGCGAGGUGCGUCAUUCAUGGUGGCAGACAAAAUGGCACGCCCGGUGGGACAUGACUUCUCCUUCCAUCUUCGAGACCUUAAAAAAAAAAAAGAAAAAAAGAAAAAAAGAAAAGGUUGUGAAAAUUAUUCCUAACCUCUACAUUUUUCCACAAGGAAAUGGCACCAACAUCAAAGAACGUUGUCGCUGCAUCAACAAACUCAAUAAUACUGGAGGCGGGUUCGCGAGUCUGCUUGCCCACAUCCGUCCUGACAUUCGGAACUGCAGGUGCCUCAAUCCAAUUUGGCACCAUUCCGGAAGAUAUUCGAGCUGCUGUCAUGGAUCAAAUUCCUGCUGCUACUGGGGGCAUGACCACUCCCGUCGCCCCUUCACAGGAUGUAUCCAAUGUGGUCAUUCCUCAGCUGCCAUCUCGAGGAAGACGACCCAAUGUGGUCAUCCCCAACCCUCCUCGCCGACCAAUAGGCGAACGAUUUUCACUUACCAACCUGCAUCCAAGAGGAUGUAGUCUGAGGGAAGACUGAUAUUUCCAAAUGGCAGAGUGCAGAAAGCAUCAGUGUUCGAUAGGCUGGCACUUUCUAAUGAUACUACAACCGCCAUUCCAACAACGAGAGCGUCUUUUAAAAGGAAUAACCGCCGCCAACUCCAUAGAGGAAAGGUUGCUGGGGCCAAGGACAAUAACGUUCAAUAGCCCCAAAUAUCCAAUUGACCGCCAUGUCGUUAAACUGAACAAAUAUAGCCGACAAAAUAAGGCUAACAUGUGCAGUGAGGCCAUCCUCAUUAAACCAUAUAGUUGGAAGACACAUCACUUCUCAAUUAGUCUUAAAAAAAAAAGAAAAAGAAAAAAGGUGGAGGACAUGUUAUUUAAAAAAAAUUUUAGAUAAUAUGAGUAAAAUAUGAGCCACCAGCGGACUUGAUUGUCCAUAUCGGACUUCAAGGGUAAAAUUGUAAAAAGUCUAGACUGUGGUAUAACUCCACAGGCAAAAUUGGGAUCCCCGCUGUGAGAAAACCUUUCAAGGUUCACAGGCAAAAGUUAGGGGAAGGUACAUGGUGAAAACCCAUUAGGGCGCCAAAAUAUCCAAAAUGUAUGUUGCCUAUGAUGGAAUGCUAACUCACCUUAGGGUCGGUUACACGCAGCAAUUUUGAUUGCUUCUUGAGUCAAAAUAAAUAAAAAAAAAAUUCAUGUUCCUUAUUACCCAAAAUAUAUUUUAUCUAUGACGGAAUGCUAACUUACCUUAGGGUUGGUUAUGUGCAGCAAUUUCGAUUGCUUCUCGAGACAAAAUAAAUAAAAAUAAUCCAAGUUCCCUAUUACCCAAAAUAUAUUUUGCCUAUGACGGAAUGCUAACUCACCUUAGGGUCGGUUAUACAUGGCAAUUUCGAUUGCUUCUCGAGGCAAAAUAAAUAAAAAAUAUGUAUUUCCUUGUACAAAAAAAAUAGAAAAAGAAGUGGAGGACAUAUUGUCUAAAUUUUUUAGAUAAUAUGGGUAAAAUAUGAGCCACCAGCAGACUUGAUUGUCCAUAUCGGAUUUCAAGGGUAAAAUUACAAAAAGUCCCGGCUGUGGUAUAACUCCACAGGUAAAAUUGGGAUCCCCACUAUUACAAAACCUUUCAAGGCUCACAGACAAAAGUUAGGAGAAGAUACCUGGUGAAAACCCAUUCGAGUGCCAGAAUACCCAAAAUGUAUGUUGCCUAUGACGGAAUGCUAACUCACCUUAGGGUCGGUUACGCGCAGCAAUUUCGAUUGCUUCUCGAGGCAAAAUAAAAAAAAAAAUCCAUAUUUCCUAUUACCCAAAAUAUAUUUUACCUAUGACGGAGAGCUAACUUACCUUAGGGUCGGUUAUGCGUAGCAAUUUCGAUUGCUUCUUAAAGACAAAAUAAAUCCAUAUCCAAUUGACUGCCACGUCGUUAAACUGAGCAUCCCAUGUCCAAUCGACCGCCAUGUCAUUAAACUGAGCAUCCCAUAUCCAAUCGACCGCUAUGUCGAUAAACUGAGCAGCCCAUAUCCAAUCGACCGCCUUGUCGUUAAACUGAGCAGCCCAUCUCCAAUCGACCGCCAUGUCGUUUAAACUGAGCAUCCCAUAUCCAAGCCAUGUCGUUAAACUGAGGAUCCCAUAUCCAAUCAACCGCCAUGUCACUAAACUGAGCACUUUUAAAUUGACCGCCAUGUCACUAAACUGAGCACAUUCAUAUUGACCGCUAUAUCAUUAAACUGAGUAUUGUUAUAUCGACCGCCUUGUCGUUAAACUGAGCAACAUAUAUCCAAUUGACUGCCACGUCGUUAAACUGAGCAAUCCAUAUUUAAUAGACCGCCAUAUCACUAAACUGAGCACUUUUAUAUCGACCGCCAUGUCACUAAACUGAGUAAUUUUAUAUUGACCGCCACGUCGUUAAACUGAGCAAUCUACAUCCAAUCGACCGCCAUGUCAUUAAACUGAGCAAUUAAAUGCAUAUGGUGCGUGGAUGAUCUAAAAAAAAAAUAAAAAAAUAAAAAAAAAAGUAUGGUCAAAGUAGGGACUGAAAAAAAAAGGGGGUCAAAGUAAGGACUGGAAAAAAAAAGAGUUCCGUAUAGGAAGCUUCAAAAAAAAAAAAAAAAGAGAAGUUUCGUACGGAACCUAAAAAAAAAAGUUUCGUAUAGGAAGCUUCAAAAAAAAAAAGAGAGAAGUUCAGUACAUGACCAUAAAAUAAAAAUAAUAAUAAAAUAAAAAGGAGUCCGUAUAGGACCAAAAAAAAAAAAAAAGAUUACCAUACAGGAACUUCAAAAAAAAAAAAAAAAAAAACCGGUCAAAAAAAAAGUUCCGUACAGGAACUCAAAAAAAAAAAAAAGAAAAAGAAAAAAAAAAAAGAGAAAGAGAGAAGAGUUCGUAAUGGCAGAAAAAAAAAAAAAAUCUUUAACAAAGAAAAGAGGUCUUCUUCGUGACGCACAGAACUCUUAUCGUCAAAAGGUGGGGGAAUUUGUUUGCGUAAAAUACUACUUAUAUAGGAUGAAACAAUCCUAAUCAGAAUAAAAAACGAUUAGAUUCGAGUUCAUACAAUCCUAAUAGGUCUCGUGUUAACCAUUAAAUUUUUGGGCCAAUAAUUAUAGUAAGCCCAUUCAUAAAUGUGAGUUCGUGGGCCUCAUGAAAGCCCAUGCAAAAAAAAGGGGGGGGGGCGGCCUUAUUCCAGCCCAUUAAAUAUUAUCAUUUGGGCCCAAUAAAUUAAAGCGGGUCUGAUCAACGACAGCCCACAUCCACAUCCUAUAAAAUAUCCGUUCGAAAUUCGAUUUCAAAUCACAACCCAUUCAAAAUUUAAUUUCGAAUUUCGAGUUCUCAACCAAUUCCCAAAACAUCCUCCAACAACCCAUUCAAAAUUCUAUUUCGAAUUUCGAAUCCAUAACCAAUUCCCAAAAUAUCAUCCAACAACCCAUUCGAAAUUCGAUUUCGAAUUUCGAAUUCCAAACCAAUUCCCAAAAUAUCAUCCAACAACCCAUUCGAAAUUCGAUUUCGAAUUUCGAAUUCCCAACCAAUUUCCAAAACAUCCUCCCACAAUCCAUUCAAAAUUCGAUUUCGCCUUUCGAAUUCCCAACCAAUUCCCAAAAUAUCCUCCAACAAUCCAUUCAAAAUUCGAUUUCGAAUUUCGAAUCCCUAACCAAUUCCCAAAAUAUCCUCCAACAACCCAUUCAAAAUUCGAUUUCGAAUUUCGAAUUCUCAACCAAUUCCCAAAAUAUCCUCCAACAACUCAUUCAAAAUUCGAUUUCGAAUUUCGAAUUUCCAACCAACUCCCAAAAUAUCCUCCAAAAAAAUAUUUAAAAUUCGAUUUCGAAUUUCGAAUUUCCAACCAACUCUCAAAAUAUCUUCCACAAAUCAUUCAAAAUUUGAUUUCGAAUUUCAAAUCAAUCCUCAAAAUACCCUCCAACCAUCCAAGUUACCCAUUCAAAAUUCGAUUUCGAAUUUUGAAUUUCCAAUCAAUCCUAAAUAUCUUUCAACCAACCACAACAACCUAUUCAAAAUUCAAUUUUGAAUUUCGAAUCCCUGAAAAUAUCUCUCACCACCUCUCCCAUUAUAAAUACGAGAAUCGAGAUCAAUACGGAGGACGAUACGAUUUUAUGGAGAGAAAAAAAAAAGAUAGAUUGCUACACACGUUCUGACGUACAAAAAAAUUCUAAGAAUGAGAGAUCGCCGAGCCGUGGAAAGGAUGAGAGAUCGCCGAGCCGCGUAAAGGAGGAGAGAUCGCCGAGCCGCGGAGAGGAGAGAUCGCCCAGCCGCGAAGAGGAGAUGAGAGAUCGCCAAGCUGCGGAAAGGAGAAGAGAUCGCCAAGCCGCUUCAUCCAAUCUGCCAUCUGCUCAACAGGUAAAGAAAAAAAAAAGAAAAAAGAAAGAAAGAAAGAAAGAAAGAAAGAAAGAAAGAAAACAGAGAAAACAAAAUCAAGCGUAUCAAAAAAUAAUAAUAAUAUAUAUAUAAAAAAAGAUCUCUUUACUUCCUCCCUUCUUUUUUUUUCUUUCUUUGGUCCUGCUAACGUAGUCAUCCUUACCGUCUAGAUGGCUUCGAUGGGAGAGUGGAGGGGAGCAAAUGGCUUCCCGUUUCUUCGGACCUCUCAAUACCCCAUUCGAAGUCGUUGAUGAUGGAAUGGGUGAUCUACAUUGCCGCGACCACCCCAACACCGACGGUUUGAUACUUCGAAAAAAGAGGAGAGGGGAAUCUUUGAUUCCCCGUUUCUUCGGACCCAUCAACAUUUCUUCGAAAAUGUCAGAUCAAAUCCGAUGGCCGAACAGAUCCACGCCAUCGUCAUCAACUUCGUCGACAUCAUCUACAACACCGACGGUUUGAUUCUUUCGAAAGAAGAGGGAAGGGGAAUCUUUGAUUCCCCGUUUCUUCGGACCCUUCAACAUUUCUUCGAAAAUGUCAAAUCAAAUCCGAUGGCCGAACAGAUCCACCCUACCGUCAUCAACUUCGUCGACGUCAUCUGCAGCAUCGUAAGAAGAGAGGAGGGGAAUCUUUGAUUCUCCGUUUCUUCGAACCCCAAAUCAAAAUUAAAAUGGGGAUUUCUUCGGACCCCAAAUUGGAACCAAAACGGGGAUUUCUUCGGACCCCAAAUCCAAAUCGAAAUCAAACGGGGAUUUCUUCCGACCCCAAAUCAAAUCCAAAUUGGAGGAUCAAAUGGGGAUUUCUUCGGACCCCAAAUCAAAGUUAAAACGGGGAUUUCUUCGGACCCCAAAUUGGAACCAAAAUGGAAAUUUCUUCGGACCCCAAAUCCAAAUCGAAAUCAAACAGGAAUUUCUUCGGACCCCAAAUCAAAUCCAAAUUUGAGGAUCAAACGGAGAUUUCUUCGAACCCCAAAUCAAAAUUAAAACGGGGAUUUCUUCGAACCCCAAAUUGGAACCAAAACGGGGAUUUCUUCGGACCCCAAAUCCAAAUCGAAAUCAAACGGGAAUUUCUUCGGACCCCAAAUCAAAUCCAAAUUUGAGAAUCAAACGGGGAUUUCUUCGGACCCCAAAUCAAAAUUAAAACGGGGAUUUCUUCGAACCCUAAAUCAAAUUGGAAAAUUAAAUCCAAAUUGGAGAAUCAAACGGGGAUUUCUUCAGACCCCAAAUCAAAUUGGAAAAUCAAAUCCAAAUUGGAACCAAAACGGAAAUUUCUUCAGACACCAAAUCAAAUCCAAUUGGAGAAUCAAACGGGGCUUUCUUCGGACCCCAAAUCAAAUUGGAAAAUCAAAUCCAAAUCCAAAUCAAACGGAGAUUUCUUUGGACCCCAAAUCCAAAUCGAGAUCAAAAGGAGAUUUUUUCGGACCCCAAAUCAAACCAAAAUCAAAAAGGGAUUUCUUUAGAUCCGUAUCAAGUUGCAAAUCAAGUUCACAUAAGAACCCAAACCAAACCAAAAUCCAAAUAAAAUCCAAACCAAACCAAAUCAAAUCCAAACCCAAAACGAAACCAAAUCCAAAUCCAGUCCACAUAAAAAUCCAAACCCAAAGUCCAAAUAAAAAACCCAAAACCAAAUACAGGCCACAAAUAAACCCAAACCCAAACCCAAACCAAAUACAGUCCACAAAUAAACACAAACCCAAAACCCAAAUCAAAUCCAAACCCAAACCCAAAUCAAGUGUAACACACUGGACCUUUGCAAAUUGCGAGGUUCGAGUGAUUGGAUGUGUUCUGAGUUUUUUCAGACUUUCUGGUGGGUAGUAGACAGUGUUCCGACCUAUGGUUCGAACCCCAAGGAUUGAGGUCUGAAGCCUAGCACCAAAACUCGAAAAAUCAGAUUUUUGGUUAGCUCUCGGGUAGCCUUCAUUGGGCUGUGUACCGGUAUAGGGUUGAUGGCUGUACCGGUACAGGGUUGAUGGUUGUACCGGUACGGGGUUGUGUACCGGUACACAGGCAGCUUUCCAGCCAACCCGAGGUUCGGGUUUGGCAUUUUCGUGGGAUGUGUACCGGUACGUGGGCCCGUGUAUCGGUACGCAGUGACAGAUUUUGAAUGAUCAAAACUGCAGGGGUGUUUUUGCAUUGUGGCUUCCCUAUAAUAGCACCCACGCCCCUAGGGCUGCUCUUUGAGCUUGCCACAGCAGAAAGAAGGUAAGGGGAGCUCCUUCGUGCUUCUCCUUGGUUUUGAUCUUUUUUUUUAGCUUGGAUUAAAGGUUUAAUCUCUCUCUUUUUCCCUUUUGGUGCAAUUCCACCAUGAUUGAAGCUUGGAGCUUGGAUUUGGAGCUUUGUUGAGGGGAGAUCUUUGGACUUGGAGAGUUUAGAGCUUGAUUGAAGCUUCUAAGAGGUAAUCUACUUGUUCUCUCUCUCUAGAUUUGAGUUUUGUUGUUGGAUUUGAGUUGAAACCCUACAAUGGAGACUUAGGGGUUUUUUGGGGCAUUUUGGAUUUAGGGCUUUUGGAGCUUGAUUGUUUGGAUUAGAACCCUCCUUUGGGUUGGAUUGGAAGGAUUCUAGCCUUCUUCGGAGCUUGUGAGAGUUUUCUCCACCUUAGGUGAGAUUUUAGCCCUUUUGCCUUGAUGGUUAAUAUUUGAUCUCAUAGUUGAUCGUAAUGCCCGUGUAUCUCUUCGCUCAUUACUUUUAGGGUUUUGAGACUCGUGGACUACUCCGUUCGGCGAAACGAGGGACUACGUGACGGUUCGGUGGGUUUGACCUAGCCACACAAUGAGAAAAUCUCAUUUGUGAUGAUUUGAGUAUCGUUAAAUGAUAAAGCAUGCAUAAUCAUGUUAGAUAUAUUUAUUAUGAAUUUUAGAAUGCUUAACAUGCCUAUGUAAUGUAUAGUAAAUUUUUGGACCUCUAUGUGGUAGAGUGUAUGCAUGUGAGAUAUAGCAUUCUAGUUGAGACUUGGAACCAUGAUUCCUAUUAUGAAAAUGAACAUUGUUUUCAUGCAUUUAACCUUUAUGCUCAUUUGUGACAUUAGGGACUUUGGAAGCCUAGAGAGGCUUGGGACUUAGACUAUUUGAGAAAUUGGACCAAUGUCAUAAAGAGGUAUUGGGCCCGGGCUAUAGUAAACAUUGGUAUUAAUGUCUUAAAUGGGAACAUAGAACAUGAUUUGGGCUUGAUUAGUUGUGGUGCUUAAGUGUCAUAAAGAGGCACUAAGCAAGUGAGUGUUGAGAUAUCACAUUGUGACAUAGAGCUAGACCGUUGGGUUACUAGUAGCUAUUGCCGUGUUUGAGACAUGAGGGUUAGAUACUUGAGCCUUUGACUACGCUUGCUUGCCAUUUGUGCUCAUUCGCACAUGCUUGUGAGGGUCGCUUCCUACAAGUCGGCACUCCGGAGUUAGCCUACGCGACCUAUGUUCGCGCGUGCAGUAUUGAGAAGCCUACGGGGUCGAGUGGGACGGACACAUUCCAAGAGCAAGAAUGUUGGGCUACCACAGGCACUUAGGCGGCACAAGUUAGACUACCUUGGGUAGGUCCUUAAUUGGAAAUGGAAAUCAACACGGUGUUGAGUGUGUUAUAAUCACUACUAGAUAGAGAGUAGUAGUUGGAUUACUUGGACUUGCUCCUAGCAUAGUGUUGGGCACUUGAGUAUACAUAUGUACAUGUAGCAUGCUAGGAGAUGUUGCUUAUUGCAUUCAUGUAAACAUUGUUUACCAUAGUAGAGCAUGAUCUGCAUAAUUUCAUAAAACAAACCAUGAUUGUUACUCGUGGUCAUGUAGGGACAUAUUUGUUCAUUAUGAUAUAAAGGUGCAUCUUAAUUGACACAAUAUAGUAUCUUAGCAUUUUAAUUAUGCUUUCUUAAAUGCAAAUUAUUCAUUAUUAUUGCUCUCUUUUUGACUUACCCUUUCUGUGGGGCUUAGUGGUGCAUUGAGCUGAGGUCAGUAAUUGCCCAUUGGGAACUAUAAAUUAUAGUUCUUACGCCCUCUGUUUUAUGUUUUCUUUCAGAGCCUUCCACGCCGAGACAGGCUAGGGACUGUGGGAAGGGCGUUGCUUCGAGCUAGCUCUUCAGCGAGAGACGAGUUGAUAAGUGGUCUACCUCUCGAUGUUUUUAUUUUGGAGAGGUUGAGAGCUGUACCAGUGUACUAGAGACCACCCUUUUGUGUACCAUUUUGGACAGAUAUCGUAUAACUAUAUGUUUCACUUUUAUUGCUUUAGUAUUUUUUUCCUUUUACCUUGUUGUAGAUGAUAGCUCUAUUUGUGCUCUGAUAUCUCUAGAUGUUAUUUAUCUUUGGUUUAUUUUUCGCUGUUAAUGUAGACGCCUUAUAUAUGCUGACAUAUGGCGGGUCUGGGCAUGCUACCGGGAGGGCCUCUGCCGGUCCCGGGGCGUGACAUCAAGUCCACAUCCAAACCUAACCCAAACCAAGUCCACAUAAAGAACCCAAACCCAUUCCACAAAUAAAAUCCAAACCAACCCAAACCAAGUCUAUAAAUAAACCCAAAAUUCAAACCGAAACCCGAACCCAAAACCAAAAUCCAAACCCAAUCCAAAUCAAGUCCACAAUCAAAAUCCAAAUCCAAAACCCAAAUCCAACUUCCAACUUAGGCUCAUGAACCUAAACCAUACCUAAGUUCGUGAACCAAAUCCCAAAUCCUAUACCCAAGUUCAUGAAUCAAGUCUCACGGACCAUACAACCAUACACCAAGUUCAUGAACCAUGAACCAUAAGCCAAGUUCAGAAACCUCAUCCAUGAACCAUAUCCAAGUUCAUGAACCAAAUCCCAUACACCAAACCUCAUAAACUAAACUUAUAAACCAUACACCAAGUUCAUGAACCAUGAAUCAUGAAUCAUGAUCCAAGUUCAUAAACCAAACCAAACCAAAUCUCAUGAACCAAAUCCCAUGAACCAUAUACGAAACCUCAUGGACCAUGAACCAAACCAUACCUAUGUUCAUGAACCAAGUCUCAUGAACCAAAUUUCAUGGACCAUACACCAAACCUUAUAAACAAUAACCAAAGUUCAUAAACCAAAUCCCAUCCCAUAGACUAUAUACCAAGCCUCAUGAACCAUACACCACAUCCCAUCCUAUGAACCAUACACCACAUCCUAUCCUAUGAGCCAUACACCAAACCAUACCCAAAUCUCAUGGACCAUAUCCAUGAACCAAACCUCAUGAGCCAAUAUCCAAAUCUCAUGAACUAUAUCCAUGAACCAAAUCUCAUGAGCCAAUACUCAAAUCUCAUGAACCAUAUCGCCUACCCCUAAUACAUAGGGCUAAGUCAAUCGCCUUAGUACAUAUAACUAAGGCAAAAUAUCUCCAAAAUCGACAGAGUUCUAAACUAUAUACUUAGAAUUCAAUCACAUGAUAUCAAGUUCAUUCGAAUUCUAACACAUAUACUUAGAGUUCAUCCGACUAACCCUAAUACAUACCCUUAGGGUCUGGUCAACCUUUUACUCUAGCACAUAUACCUGGAGUGGAAGUCAAACCAAGCUCAACUAGUCUUAACACAUAGACUUAGGGCCUAGUCAGCCUUUUGCUCUAGCACAUCUAUCUAGAGUGAAAUCCAUACCCGAUCGAGCUCUAAUACAUAUACUUAGAGCUUAUGCAAAUCAAAUCCGACGAAACCUAACAUAAUACCUCGGGGCUUAGUCAGAUCCUCACUCUAUAUAACUAGAGUGAAAAAUAUAUUAAACUUGGUUAAUCUUGAUAUAUACACUCAGGAAUUAGCCACUCUCUACUUUUGGAUAAUAUCAAAUCCGACCUACCUCAAUACAUAUACUUGGGGUUUGGUCACUCUAAGACAUAUACUUAGAGCCAAUUAGACUCUAAUACAUAGAAUUUAAUAUCGACUAGGUCUUAACACAUAUACUUAGGACCUAGUCAAUUUCAAAUUCAACUGAAUCCUAAUACAUAUACUUAGGAUUCAAUAAACCAAGAUAUGAUUCAUUCAAUCCCAUCUAUAAAGGUCUCUUAAUUGAAGGUGCCCCAAUCUACAGGGGGUAAUUAACAAUAGAUGCUUGCAUCUAUUGGAAGCCAUAGAUCCGCAAUACCUGAUACCCACAUACAUAUAGAUACUCAUCUGAAUCAUGAAUACUACCCCACGGCCUAAAAUCCAUCGACCGUGCGGGGUGCGUCAUUCGUGGUGGCAGACACUGCCGUCACAGCCUACCGCACCUUUGACUUAACCAUCUAGUGGCGAACUCAUCGCAUCGAACCCAACAACGACUCAAGUCAUGACUUAGCCAUCUGGUGACGAACUCAUCGCAUCAUACCCAACAAUGGUUCAAGUCGUGACUUAGUCAUCUGGCAACGACCACAUCGCCCUUACCCAGCAAUGGUUCAAGUCAAUCUAGGCGGCAUCCAAUAAGCUAAAUGGGCGAGGAGAACCACACAUACCCAAUUCGAGCUUAUUCUCAUGGCAUCCCGGGUGAGGACAACAACACAUACCCGUUGAAUCACUGCCAGGCGAGGAGAACCACACAUACCUUCAGUUAUGAUUCUAUUUGCCAUCUCUUUUACCACAAGUUCCCACCGCUUCUUUUGCGGCCACCUCACUAGGAAUUCCAGAAUCCACUUCACAUAACUCAAGGGUUAGCCUCAAACCCUAUAGUAUUGACCUAUCUAGGUCCAAUGUCCUUGUCACCCUUGGUCCAACUGACUCUAGGCUUAAUACCUCUAUCACAUAACUUAGGUUUACUUUAACUCUAGGCUCAAUUCUCAACCUAUGUUCUCGACACUAGGUUAAUGCCACACACCUAGAUUUAAUUAACUCUAGGUUCAUUCUCAACCUAUGUUCUUUAACACUAGGUUAGAUGCCACUCGACCUAUAUUUAAUAACACUAGGUUCAUUGUCAUUCAUGUUCAACCUAUGUUUAAUACACUAGGUUAAGUGCCACUCGAUCUAUUCGACAUCCUAAUUGUCCACAUCGAGUUCAAUAGAUAUCCACAUUUUAUCUAGCAUGCAUUAUAUAAUGCCAAUAUGCAUAUUCUUUCUAACAUGAUCUCAUAGCUCCAAAAUGCUCCUAGUAUUUAUUCUUCUACUUGUUGUAAAAUAUUUUUAAAUUCAUUUCUAAGCUAAAUGGAAUUUAUAUGAAUUUUAGAGCACUUAAAAUGCAUGCCUUGUGUAUUAUGAAAAUUUUCCUAUAUAGUAGAGCGAAAUGAGUAGAAUGCAUGCAUACGGGAGAAGUGUUUAUUUUGCAAGCGGAAAUUACACCUCUUAUGAGGGUUAUGACUUGGAAUAUGUACUUGGGAACAUAGUUGCCAUGCUCGGGCAUAGAGAACAAGAGUGUCAUCAGGGGGCACUUGAAACUAGUAAACUAUGAAACUGCAAUAUAGAGAUAUAUUGAUAGGCCACUACAUAUCUGCUAUAUUCCAUGUUAGAGACAUGAUGACAUAGGGAUAGGCCAUUGGGAUACUUGACACAUUCCAUGUUAUUUGACAUGAGGACUUGGUACUUGCGACAGAUCGUUUGACUACUUGCCAUUGUGCUCAUUCGCAAAUGCUUGUGAGGGUCGCUCCCUACAAGCCGGCACUCCGGAGAUAGCCAUCGCGAUUCAUAUUCGCCGUGCGGGAUUGGGCGCCGAAGUGGAUUGCCGCGGGACAGGCUCAUUCCUAGGGUGGGGAUGAUGACUACCACGGGGCCAUUAGGCUCGGCACCGGCUAGACAGCUUACGGGUGGGUCUCAGGGCCGUAGACAGCCUUCGGGUGGGUCUCUUCAGAUUUGACUUUGAGUAUUCAUUAUGACAUGGGGACAGAUGAUGACUUAGUGUACUACUUGGACAUUAACUAGAAUAGUAAACAACGGAACUUUACUAUUUCGCAUUGUGAACAUUAUGAUAGUUGGAGACUUUUACUUCAUGCAUAGUUGCUUUAUACUUAUGCUAAUUAUGCUAAGAAGAGAUAUCAUGUUGUAGUAAGUUAUAUUUUUAUUUACCUUUCGCUUUUCUACCUUUAUAGUCACUGACAUCUUUUGUAACUUUGGGCCUUGUGGUGCAUUCACUGAAGUCAGUAAUUGCCCACUGGGAACUAUUUUAAUAGUUCUCACGCCCCUGUUUUAUGGUUUACUUUUCAGAGCCUUCGGCACCGGCGGAGGCACGGGUCGCGGCAAGGGGAUCGCUUAGCUAGCUAGCGAGGAGCGGUACUUUGCCUAGGUGGUUUACUCUUUCUUUUUUGUAGUUGAGAGAGUGAGAGGUUUUUGUAUCCAUGUAUAGAGACCACCUAUGUAUCUACCUAUAGCACUUGUAUCCGGAAUUUUCUUGUAUCACUUUAUGUCUUAUUUAGUGGAUUUACAGUUUUAUCCUUAUCUUUUGUUGUAGCAUUUAGACAUUUAUUAUGCUCUAAUACUCCUAGAUGUCUUUUACUAUUACUUUUAUUAUUGUUGUUUUUAGACGCCUUAUAUGUUUUAGACGUAUGGCGGGUCUGGGCACGUGUCGGGCGGGCUCUCGUUGGGUCCCGGGGCGUGACACAUUCACAGUUUAUUUAGGUUGUUAUUAAAUAAUACGGGCUACGCCUUCACCUUUAAAUACAUACCGAUUAGUUAUUUCAUAACCUGUAAUGCAAAGGUUACUUUUCGUCGUAUAUGCUAAGCCUUGUUGGUAGACGCUUGUAAACCCUUACUGUCGGCAGUUAUUUGCAUAACUAGACUCUGUCCGUUACCUGGGCAUGUAGAGCACUAACUUGUAAUGCAAAUACCACUUUAAUAAUGUUUAACUAUAGUUAAAAACACAUACCAUAUGCCCCGGGGCGUGACAGAUUAAUACCAUCUUAAUCUGUCACGCCUCGAGGCUGAUUUUAAAAGCCAUUACCAUUUUGAAAACUCAGAGUCGCGGAAGAUGCGAUAUUUUAUGUAUCGUUUCGCGUGAAAUCGCACGUAGAGGGGUAUUCACACGUUUUACUCACGCUGGGGAGGAUUCAGUUUGAAAUACUGAAGUUUGAUGGGCUUUUCCGCAAUUUGCACCUUAUAUAUAUAUUGCUUUUUAGGGUUUUCUUGGGAUCCAAAACCCUAGUUGAGCCCCCUGCUACCCUAGUCGGACCCUACCAUCUUCACCUUGCUCUUCUUCCCUAACCGCACACCUCCGGCCGCCGCCGAUUGAGCCCCAGCCGCCGCCGAACCACCUUCUUCUUCUUCUCCUCCAUAUCUCUCUUCCUCCCUCUUCUUCUCAGGUUCAGGACAGGGUCCGAGGUUGCAGUUCAUCUUGCCCCUCUCCAGCACCACCACGGAGCUCCGGCGACCUCCCCCGGCCGACUGCUGCCACCCAGAGCGCCGCCGCGUCGCGCUGAUGCUGCCUGGGGCAGCUAGAUUGAGCCCAGGUCGGGUUCAGCUCACGGCCUCCCCGCGCGUCGCCGCCGCCUGAGCCCGCUCCGGCUGCCGUUCCAGUGCCCUCGGUAUCCCUCCCCGACGGUCGCCGCCGCCCCUAUGAGCCGUCGCCCCCGUCUCGACCAAGUUGCAGCCGCCCCAGACUUGUGUCGGCCGAGGCAAGCCGCGUCCCCUCUCCCCUCGCCGCCGCCACUCAGGGCCGCCUCUCUCCUCCUCCUUCGGCCCCGGGGCGUGACAGAUUAAGAUAUAUGAGAUAUAAUAGGGCUAAACUCUUAACCCGGCUUAAGCAUUUUGGUUAGUGGUAAGGCUCAAGAGGUUAAGAGAGUUAAGCGUGCUAGAUGGGAGUAGUCCUAGGAUGGGUGACCCCCUGGGAAGUUGGGGCGUCACAUAUGGUAUUAGAGCCAAUUACCAGCCGGAAGUGUGAUAUGAGUCUCGGCUGAGCCAAGGUCUGGAUGACGGGCUAGCGAGACGAGUCUCACAUCGCCUGGUACUUGUGAGUCUGAGCCUGACGAGGACGUUAGGGCUUAAAGGAGGGGAGAUUGUGAGACCCCAGAUAGUCCUAUAUAUGAGAUAUAAUAGGGCUAAACUCUUAACCCGGCUUAAGCAUUUUAGUUAGUGGCAAGGCUCAAGAGGUUAAGAGAGUUAAGCGUGCUAGAUGGGAGUAGUCCUAGGAUGGGUGACCCCCUGGGAAGUUGGGGCGUCACAAUAUGACGGGUCUGUGCAUGAGCUGGGUAUACUUUCGCUGGUACCCGGGCGUGACAUAAGGACUACAUUGCUUACCUUAAGGUCUAAUAGAAGCAGCUCCAAAACAAGAGCAAGUAGUCAGCUUCAUGUGCCACCUUUCAGCCCAGGUCUGGCAAAGUUUCACAAGGAAAACUCCAAGGUGAACCCUAAAAUUAGUAAAGUGGGUGCUAUAAUGUUGCAAGAGUCGAAGUUGAACAAUUUGACAAUUCACUUAAAGAGUGUUGGAUAUUACAUAAGGACGACACUACUUACCUUAAGAUCUAAUAGAAGCAGCUCCAGAACAACAAGACGCAGUAGAGGAACUCAGUGAAAAUCGUAUUAUAAUCCGCUAGAAGAAAUAGAUGACGAAAAUCGAUGUAAUUCUCAAAAUCACUCAAAAUUGGCUCAUACUUCAACUGAACUCAAAUUUGAACUUCAUUUUCGGCUUACUAACCUGAAAUUCAAGUAGGAGCAGCUCCAAUUCAACUGGGGUUGAUGAGCAAACCAGUAGCGAUCCUUCGAUUUUCAAUUAUAAGAAAUAGGCAACUCGAGGUUCCUAAAGACAAAAGAAAUCCGCAUUCACUCAUAACAUCAAUUAUCUUAGUUUUACUCCAAGUAACUUCAAUUUGAACUCAAAUAAACUGUAAUUUGAACUCCUCUACUCCCUUCUCUCAAUAACAAACACCAAUUUCAUUGCUAGAGGUGCCGAUUUUGCACAAUUGGGUCCUUUUUUUUUUUUCCUCUCCUACCUCUCUCUACUGCCCCGCGAUUAACCUGCGGCCAACAGCUACUAGUGUUGUUUCUACUGCUGCUGCUGCUUCUGCUGCCAGCAGCUAUAGCUGCAGCUGGUGAUGUAGCUGUAGCUGUCAGCACAACUUGGUGGUGGUGCUACUAGCAGAAGUAGCUACUGGUAGCUGCGUGUGCACCGACAACAAUUUUGUGCCAACAACAAUUUUGCGUGUGCGCGAGAUUCGAUUGGAUCGCCAAGUAGGUCAAAAUCCUCAAUUCCCUUUCCCUAUCUUCUCCCUCUCCCUCUCUUUGAAGCAACAGGUUGGGGAGGGAUGGAUAAAGGUGGAUGGAUUCCACUUAAAAACUUAUAGGGUGUGUUUGGUUCCACGUAAAACUGGGAAAAAAAAUUUUUCGUGGAAAAAAGUUUUUCGUGGAAAAUUUAUUUUACAGUUUUUAGUAUUUGGUUUGUAGGAAAAAAAAAAUAGUUUACAGUUAUAGUUGUUUGUUUAAAUGGUUGAAAGGAAAAGGUAUAAAUUAUUUUUUACUAUGUAUUCGAUAUAUUAUUUAUUUAUUAUUUAUGAAUUAAAUAUAAGAUAAAUUUAUAAGCAUUUAAUAUAAUAUAUGUAAUAAUCUGCAUAUAAUAUUAUAUAAAUAUAUAUAAUUUUUAUAAAUAAAAAUAUAAAAUUAGCUUUUCUUUACUGUUGUUUGGUUGAAAGAAAAAAAAUUAUAAAUAAAAAAUUAUUAUAUAUAUUUUUUCUUAUUGUAUAUAUUAUUACAUUAUCUAUAUAUAAUAAUUAUUGAUGUAUAAUAAUUAUCAUAUUACAUAUAUUAAUAUUAUAAUUUAUAUUUAUAAAAAAAUAUAUCUAAAAUAUAUUAUACAUUAAUUAAUAAUGGAAUAUAAUAUAUAAUAGUAUAUAUUUAAUACUAUAAAAUAAAUUAUGUAUUUAUAAAUAAUGUAUAUAUAAAAUAUUACACAAUAAUAUAUUUAAAUAGUAAAAUUAUAUAUAUAUAUAUACUAGUGUAGUGACCCACGCGAUGCAGCGAAAAAAAAUAUUUUAAUAAAAAUUUACAAAUUAAAUAAAUAAAUAUGAAUGUAAAGAGGUAUUUGUGCAAAUAUGUAUAAUCCAUAUAAUUGCAGAAACUAUCAAAAUCAAACAGUUGACAAUAAUAAUUAUAAGACACCUAUCGUAAUGAUAAACGGCUCGUCUCGCUGUGACCUUAUCUUGGAUUCUUAAUACUUCUGUAGCUCCAUCCCCGCAGGGGCAGAGAAGAAAAAAAAUAUAACUAUAUUUGAUUAGACUUAAUAAUAUAAAAAACACAUUAAAAAAUAUUUAAAAUGGAAUCACAACUCAACAAAAAAUAAUAAAAGAAACCGGAAAAAAAAAAGUAAGAAUUAUAUGAGAAGAAAAAUUAUUACAUAGAUAUUAUAAAAAAAAUGUUUGAAAUAUUGCAAGUGAAAGAUAAUAAAUAUUAAAGAGCACACUGAAAAGAUUUUAAUUGACAUUUAACAAAUCAAAUAAACAGAUUCAUCCGUCCGAUUCUUUUUUUGAUGCAAAUCAAAUUUUUUUUAAAAAUCAAUAAUGAAGUAACCCGAGCAUUAUAUAUAUAUAUAUACACACACACACACACACACAUGCGCGACAUCGACGCGAUAUUUUAAUUAUUGUAUAAUACACUAUGAUAAUAAUCCAAUAUUAUCAGUGUCACAUUAGUGUCGGCUUGUAUUUAAGAGGAAAAAUAUAGAAACGAACAAUAAAACCAACAAUAAAAAGCCCCUUGAAUAAGCUUCUCAGGAGAAAAAAUCUCCAUAAUAAUAUUGGGAAAAAUAUUCUAAACAUUCAAGACAAAAAAAAAAUCAUCUCUCUGAAACAAAAAGGAACUUUUCAAGAAGUUAGAACAAAUUAAAAGAAACAUAAAAUGUGCCAAAAAUAAAAAAAAAACCCAAAAAUGCUUUCCUAAGCUCCAAGCGAACAACAAAUUAAAUGUGAAAAACGAAUAAAGAAACUACUGCUAGAAGUAGAGCUAUAAGGAAUCGAACCUUCUAUUCUAUUGCGCUCUCAAUUCAACAGGUGGAAGGUCAAUAAUCCUACAAAAUUUUGUUGAAGUACAUGCAUUCAAUUGUGGUUUUAUUGGGAGAUGAGGAGAGAACGGUUUUGAAAGAUGAGGGGUUUUGGAGGUUGGGAGAUGAGAGGGAAUAAUUUUGGUGCAAUUAUAUGCAUUCAAUUGUGAUUUUAUUGGGAGAUAAGGAGGGAACGGUUUUGAAGAUGAGAGGUUUUGGAGGUUAGGAGAUGAAAGAGAGCAGUUUUGAAAGAAGGCGGUAACGCCAUGUCAGCAAGAUAUUGGGGAUUCAUAGAUUAGUAUAUAUAUAUAUAUAUAUAUAUAUAUAUAUAUAUAUAUAUAUAGAAUUAUGCUACUAUACUAUCAAUAGUACCAACCCCUUGNAUAUAUAUAUAUAUAUAUAUAUAUAUAUAUAUACACACACACACACACACACAUGCGCGACAUCGACGCGAUAUUUUAAUUAUUGUAUAAUACACUAUGAUAAUAAUCCAAUAUUAUCAGUGUCACAUUAGUGUCGGCUUGUAUUUAAGAGGAAAAAUAUAGAAACGAACAAUAAAACCAACAAUAAAAAGCCCCUUGAAUAAGCUUCUCAGGAGAAAAAAUCUCCAUAAUAAUAUUGGGAAAAAUAUUCUAAACAUUCAAGACAAAAAAAAAAUCAUCUCUCUGAAACAAAAAGGAACUUUUCAAGAAGUUAGAACAAAUUAAAAGAAACAUAAAAUGUGCCAAAAAUAAAAAAAAAACCCAAAAAUGCUUUCCUAAGCUCCAAGCGAACAACAAAUUAAAUGUGAAAAACGAAUAAAGAAACUACUGCUAGAAGUAGAGCUAUAAGGAAUCGAACCUUCUAUUUUAUUGCGCUCUCAAUUCAACAGGUGGAAGGUCAAUAAUCCUACAAAAUUUUGUUGAAGUACAUGCAUUCAAUUGUGGUUUUAUUGGGAGAUGAGGAGAGAACGGUUUUGAAAGAUGAGGGGUUUUGGAGGUUGGAAGAUGAGAGGUUUUGGAGGUUAGGAGAUGAGAGGGAAUAAUUUUGGUGCAAUUAUAUACAUUCAAUUGUGGUUUUAUUGAGAGAUAAGGAGGGAACGGUUUUAGAAGAUGAGAGGUUUUGGAGGUUAGGAGAUGAGAGGGAAUAAUUUUGGUGCAAUUAUAUACAUUCAAUUGUGGUUUUAUUGAGAGAUAAGGAGGGAACGGUUUUAGAAGAUGAGAGGUUUUGGAGGUUAGGAGAUGAAAGAGAGCAAUUUUGAAAGAAGGAGGUAAUGUCAUGUCAGCAAGAUAUUGGAGAUUCAUAGAUAUAUAUAUAUAUAGAUAUAUAUAGAAUUAUGCUACUAUACUAUCAAUAGUACCAACCCCUUGGUACUAUUAAGUUUUUGGUCGUUGGAUGAAAGGAUGUGCGGUUAGGAUGAUAGUGGUCCCCGAUUAAAUUGAUAGUGGUCCCCUAGGGUUGAGUGGGUGGUUGGUUUAAUAGUAUAAUCUAACGGGUGGAAAUGAUCAAAGGAUAGAUCUAACGGUAGAAAACUCAAUAGUACCAAGGGCUUGGUACUAUCGAUAGUAUAGUAGCCGGACUCUCUCUCUCUCUCUCUCUCUCUCUCUCUCUCUCUCUCUCUCUCUCUCUCUAUAUAUAUAUAUAUAUAUAUAUAUAUAUAUAUAUAAGAGGGGGAGAGAGUCCACGGGUCCACCGUGGACUCUCUCUCACACGGUCCACGAGGUGAGGAUGCCUCGUGGACCGCGCAUGCUCAAAAUCCCUGAGCCGCGAUUUUGGGAGCUUGGAGUUUUCGUUUUCCGCGGACGGCGAGCGGAAAACAAAAACACAAACUUUUCGGAGAAUCUGUAAAAAGGUUUUCCAAAAGGUUUUUUUUACAGAUAACCAAAUAUUGGAAAACAAGUUUUCAACUGAAAAUUUUUUUUCGGAGCACUUUUAUAUGGAACCAAACAGCCCCUUAGUGGAAAUCCACUGCCCGUAUCACUUUCGUUAUUUAUUUUGGUGUAAGUGAAAAAUAUAAUGUUACUCAAGUUACGUUAGAGCUCCACUUCACCUACUCUCGAUUUUCUCCUCUAAAGUGCCGAACUUGACUUCCACCACACUCAACUUCCUCUAAAAAAUUAAUUAAACAGUAAAACAUAAACUCUACUUCCUUUAUAAUGGGUUAAAAUUGCCUUAUUUAUAAUAAAUUAGGAUUACAUUUAAAUAAUAAUAAAAAAUUUAAUUAUAUAAUAGGUUAAAUUUUAUAGUUGUAAAUUUACUACUAUAUUUCGGAGAUAAUGGGAUCUACUUACUUACAUCAGAACAAACAACGGAACUCAAAAAACUAAUUUUACCAGUACCAAGUUACAUCCAAACAAACAAAAAAAAAAUUGAAUUUAACUUUCAGACUGUACGAGUUACGUCAAAAUAAACAACAAAAAAUUAAUCACACUUCAGAAAAACUCAAACACCACUACAUUUGACUUACGUUGAAUCUAUAGAUUCGUCAGUCCAAACGCCUCCUAAGUUGCAACAAAUGAAAAGAAGUCCAAAACUAUACAAUAUUUAUAUUUCGGUCCUCCAAGAGUUAAAGAUGUAAGAUUUGAAUUCGUUUUUGCAUCAAUUUCGCGUCUAAAGGUCUCCAACUCACUUAGGCCCCAUAAGAAAAGGGUGAAUAGCAACUCAUAUUGUAAUCUUAUCUACUUGGCAAGGUCCAGAACUUUACAGCUAAAAGGUUAUAUUUGGUUUUAACUUUAAUCUUUGAAUUUAUUUUUUAAAUUAAAUUUCACCCGAAAUUUGGAUUAAAAUCAUGAUCAUAUUUUGAAUUUUAUUUGUACAUUUAAAUUCAACAUAAAAUUUUUAAAUUCAAAUUUAUAACUUUUAUAUUUAAAUUUAAAUUUUGAAAUUUGAAUUUGAAUUUAAAAUUUGAAAUUUAAAUUUUAAUUAAAUUAUUUUUAGCUUAGAACUUUAAUUUGAACUUUGAAUUCAAAUUGUUUCGACUAAAAAUUGAAAUUAUUGGCUGAAAUUUGAAUUCAAAAUUUAAAUUUUUAAGUUGAAAAUUAAAUUUAAUCCCUGAAACCUCCCCCUGCACUGGGCUCCUUUCCCCCGGCCCAAAACCCUAGACCCAAAAGAUUAAAAUACCCCAUCCCUCCCUAGUCUUGGCCCAAAAAAAGGAAAAAAAAAGAAAAGAAAAAAAAAAAAAAAAAAAAAAAAAAAAAAAAAAAAACAUGGCCUCUCUCAUUCCACAUCUCCUGCGAUCUUCGAUCUACCUCAUCUCGCGUCGAUCACCUCUCCCACCGUGACAAAGCUCUGCUAGGUCGAUCUGCCUCUCCGAUUGUAGAUGAACUCCUCCGAGAGGAGAUGAUGAGUCUCCCCUCGACUCCGCCAUGUUGAUCUCUUCGAGAGCUCCAUUUCCCACAAGACCAAUCCUCUCCUCAGGUGAAUACUCGUCUCAAUCUCUCAUUUUUAUUCAACGCUUCAAGUGAUCGUGAUGCGUCCAUUUCGUGCAAUUGCUAGGGUUUUACCGAUGCUUUUUGUGUUCUUAUUUUUGAGCUUCUGAUUUGAGCAAUUCGCUUGGAUAAUUUGCUGUGUUGCUUCGACAAAUUUUGUACAUUUGUUUAGAUUAGCCAUUUGCCGGAAACUUAACUACUUUCAGCUCUAGCAUAAUUUGUUUUGAAAUAGCUCGUUUGUUAUAUACCGACCGUCUCUAGCGCAACUGGCAAAGGGCUUGCUGAUUUUUACCUAAGGUUUCAAGUUCGAAUUGUAGUUGAUUCUCUUUUCUUAGCUAAGUUUAUUUCUAUAAAUGAAAUAAACGAAACGGGUAGCAUGCUACCUAUCUCUCAAAAAAAAAAAAUUCCGAAAAUGUUGUACAUUUUAUACUUGGAAUGACAAAUUCGUUAUUAACUUAUCGAGCCACUUGUGUUAGGAGAGUAUUAGAUACCAAUAUAUUCUUAUUAAUAAACUACUUAUAAUUUCUAGUUUCUAGUAUUCAUAAAAAUGAGGAUGACUUCUAACUCAUAACAGUUUAAUAUUCCUACCUUCUGUAGGAAUCUUCACUGAUCCCACUAUUUCACUAACGCUAUUUAUAACUGCACAACUAAAGUUAAUGAUAAUGAUUUGAAUAUUUUUAAUUAAAAAUAUAGAGAAUUUUUGAAAUGUUACAAAUCGUGAACCAAACAGGUCCAAAGGGUGAAUCUCCAUGCUUUAGUAUUCGGCAUUUGGUAUAUUGAUUAAAUUUAUUAGCUUUGAUUUGGUCAAAUGGUUGAAAAGGCAUGGAAUUGAUCGGUUUCUAUUGAUGAUAGGAAUAAUUUGCAAUAGUUGAAAUGUGAUAACGUUACAAAGCAUUAACGAUCAAAUCAUUAUUAAAUUAAGAUGGGUUCGGGUAGUCAUUCCUAAGGGCAUGUGAUCUUUCGAUGAUGCAUUUGUGAUAUUUAAAGCUAUUUUCUGUGGAUUAAUCUUCAGAGUGCCAAAGUCAUUUAGUACUAGUGUUUAAAGCUUAAUAUAGUGUAGACUCUUAGGUAUCGUUUGGUUCGGAGAUAAGCAAAAAGUGGUUAUUCUAGGGAUAGGUAUAAAUUGAGGUAUAAGCGGGGAUUAGAUCAAUUUUGCGUUUGGAUGAAAAUUGAGUUAUUCCUGAGAAUAUGAAAAAUAGAGAGUUUGGUUAGAUAAGAUGGAAUAAGAAGGAUAGUGGGUAGUUAUAAAUAAAAAAUAAUAAUAUUACCCUCUCAUUAUAUUUGAAUUUAAAUUUUUAAAUUUUAAAUUUAUAUUUUUAAUUUAAAAUUUUAACUUUUAAAUUUCAAAAUUUUAAAUUAAAAUUUAAAUUUUAAAAUUUAAAAUCUCAAAUUUUAAAUUUUAAAUUUUAAAUUUUAAAUUUUAAAUUUUAAAUUUUAAAAUUUAAAUUUCAAACUUUAAAUUUAAGAUCAAAUUUAAAUUUGAAAAAUAUAAAAUAUAAAAUUUUAAAUUUCAAAAUUAAAAUAUCAAAAUUUAAUUUUAAAAUUUAAAAUUUAAAAUUAUAAACUUUUUUUGAGAUUAUAAAUUAUAAAUUUUAACAAUUUAAAUUUUUACUUUUUAAAAUUUUAAAAUAAGAAUAGGAAUUGGAACAAUUAAUAAAAAUAAUUUAUUAUAAUAAAAUUAUAAAUUUGAUAAAAAUAAAUAUUUUAAUAAAUUUAUAAAUUUUUUAUUAUUAAUAAAUUUAUAAUUUUUUAAAAAUUUCUACUUAAACUUAAAUUUAAUAAAAGUAAUUUAUUAUAAUAUUUAAAUAUAAUUUAUUAUAAUAUUUAAAUAUAAAUAAUAUUAUAAAUAUAGUACAAUUAAUAAUUUUAUAACAAAAAAAUGUAUUAUAAUAUAUAAUAUAUUAUAUUUAUAUAAUUUAGUUUUAAUUCAAUUCAUAAUUUUAAUUAAGUUUGAAAUUAAACAUUAGAAUAGCACUAUUUCAUCAAAAUGGUGGAAUAGCAAAUCCCAUGCUAUUCCGGAAUAGUCGGGAAUAGUAAAGUUUGACCGGAAUAAAAUAUCCCGGUCAAAAAUUAUUUUGUUUAGCGGAAUAGCAGAGAUAACUUCUGUUAUCCUUGCUUAUACCGCCAACCAAACGUUGCCUUAGAUAUUGUGAUCUCUCACCUAUUCCUUUUUUUAAGUUGUAUGUUUCCUUGUCAACUCUUGUACAUAUUAUGUGUUUUGCAAAGCCAGGAAACUUCUAUCGAAUUAUUGAUCAAAGGGGUAUAAUCAUGGAGCUUGGAAUUUAAUCAGGUUUAAACGAUGCAUGUGGAACAUAUUUGAUGCAACUGGUGGAGCAAAAUUGUAGAAGUUUUGGUUUUGUGGAUAAUUGCUUUUGUUUUAUGGUACCUAAAAUGAAAAUGGCUUUAUAUCGUAAGCAUUCGUAUUGUGAAUUUGUUUCUCUCCAUCAGUCUUAGAAGACUAAUUAGUGACAGAAGUACUAAAGCAUUCCCUGUAUAGUUGUUCCUUUUGCCUUGUAGUUGCUGUUUUGUAGCUAUAUUUGCCUUUUUGUUGCUAAUAAAUUUGCAUAAUAUUAAUAUGUAGUUCACAUCAUCACAAUACAAUCACCUUAGUAUGAAGAAAAUUUCCUAUGGCGUAUUGUCAUUGUUGAUUCAUCUGUAGUAUAUGAAUCUUUCCUUUUCUUUUUUUCCUUGAAAAGGGAAGUCUCUUGAGUAUAUUGCAAAGCUCAAUGAUUUUCAAAGGCAGCAAUAAAUCUAUAGUCACUCUGAAAUAUGAAAUUGCAUAUAAAACUGCCUUUCUUUUCACUGUGUAUUGUUUUGAAACAGAUUUUCUUUUAGUUCUUACCUUUUAGACUCUUAUUGUGUUAGAUUAACCAUCUGUACCAGGAUUGCUUUCAGCUCUAACUUAAUUGGUUUCAUGUUUUCCAUCCCUCUUUUGAGUGAAUUGAUAUUUCUAAACUUCAAUGAGAUUAUUAUUGUCAUGUCGCGACGCUAAAGCCCAACCGGAUGCAUAAGCAGACCGCCAUAUGGACAGUUUUUUUUUUUGUAUGUGCCUGGGGUCGGAGUACAAAGCACCUACAAAUACUAUAGAUGGGAACCAAAACCCGAGAAUGCAAUUUAAAUCAAAACAAUUAAAUGUUUACAAAACUUGUCAAGGUUUUAAAAAUAUAAGUUUUACGACUAUAAAGAGUUUAGUUAUAAUUUUCUUUUCCAAAAGAGUAUCCUAGAAUAUAUUACUAUAUUCUAAAGGGCGUGGAGGGUUCUUUGUUUGUGGACACAUGUUCAUUUUGAAUAUUCGGUGCACCCGGUGUACCAUGGAUUAAGUAAAAGAGAUAUAGAUAUUGGGUUUAUUGGGUUUGUUGGGUGCUCCUGUUGUAGACCAUGGACCUACUAUAGAACAUAGGUGAAUUGGAUUUGUACUCUCUUAAACUUUAACACGUCGUUUCAAACUCUUUGAUAGUUGUAUUUUUUUUACACUUACAAAUUUUUUUUGACACUUGCAAUUUUUUGUUUUUGACACCUAAAAGUUAUUUGCCUACAUGUCAUGGUUAGAAAUUUUUUAUCUCUUUUGGUGAAUCGAGAAAAAGAAAAUUUUUAAUUUUUAUUCACCUAUAUAUAGUAACUUUUAAAUUUUUUACAACCUUUUCUUCUUCCGAUCCUCCCUCAGGUAUGUUCCUCCAUCAGGUAUGUUGUUGUUUGAAAUUCUGCUAUUUUUUAAUAUGCAUCUAGUUGAUUUAUUUCCUUUAGUUGAUGACAUUUUAUAAAUUGAAUGAUUGUAAAAUAGUAAAAACUAUCUUUAAAGAAAAGAUGAAAUAUUCAUUAACAAGUUAUUCUUGAUUUUUUUUCAAAAUAUUUAACUAAUCUUUGAUACUUUUUUUUUUUGUUUCCUUAUAGCUCUUUAUUAUCGGUGAAGAAGCGCAACUGCUAACAAAGUAAAAAAAGAAAAUUUUCAUGCUACUUGAUAAUAUAAAUCUACAACAUGCCUAGGUAAUCCUUGGGUGGGACUUGCUAAUUAAAAAAAAACUAACAUUUAAGAAAAUUUCCUUCAAGUAUAUGUAACAGUAAAUCAGUAAAUUAUAUGGAAUAUCAAACUAUAAAUUAUUCUUAAAUGAAUUAAGCUAGAAUGUUUGUACCAUAUGUGGAAAUUGAAGUACCAUUAGAUGAAGAUAUAGCUGAGAUUAUAAAGACCAAGAGCAAACUAGCAAUUAGUAGCAUAGAAAGUGAGGAGAUGCCGCUCAAAUAGCUGUAAAGUAUAUAUAUACAAGUAUACAUAGAUAUGCAAAUCCGCCCCGCCUCGAAAUCCGCCUCCUGCCGGCGCCCCGAAUCCGUCCCGCCAACUAAUAUUUUUUAUAAAAUUAUAAUAUUAUUAAUAUUUUGUAAAUUUUUAAUAAUAUUAUAUAUAAUUUAACAAUAUUAAUUAUAAAAAUAAAAAAUAUCAAUCACAAUUCAAAAUAAAAUUCAAAAGUUUCAAAUACAUUAGAAAUGAGAGUACUAAGUUAUUUGUAUUUUAAGCUUUUUUGUAAAUACUUUAUUUUUUAGAAAUAUUUUUUUAAAAUAUAAAUGAUUUUCGGGGCGGAUUCCGGGCGGAUCAUGGCAGGGCGGAUUCGGGGCGGGUCAAAAUUUCUCCUGUUUCCUGCCCCGAAUCCGUCUCGGAUCGUAAAAUUUACCCCAUUUCCUGCCCCGAAUCCGUUAUUUUCUCCCAUUUACUGCCCCCGUCGGGGCGGGAGCUCCACCAACCUGGAUCCGUUUGCAUCCCUAAGUAUACAAACAUCAUUGCAAAGUUGAUGUUGUUGACACUAACUAUAAGGACGUGGUAUGCUACAAAUCAAUGUUUGAAGAUAUAAAUCAGUUUUUUCAUGCUUUGAUCCACCAAAACCCCCAAUUAGAAAACUAGAAAAAGAGAAAUUAAAUUCAGAUGUGCAUCCAGUCUAGGGUAAGUUCCACAAAAUCAUAGCUAGAAUGAAGAUACUUAAAUGAUAUAUUGAGAGUUAGGAUAAAAAUAAUUGAUAGUUAGAAAAAAAAAUUAUAUUAGUUAAUUAUUAUUCUAUUUUGUAUACUUAAUAUAAACUAUAUUAAUACAUAUUCUAUUAAUUAGAUAAUAAAUUAAUUUAGAAAUGGAACUUCUUAUUAGUAACUUCUAUUGAUUUUUUUCUUCUUCUUCAGUUCGGAUCAAAAAUAGAAUAGUUUAAUUAAGUUGCCAAAGGGUAUACACUGAAGGCAUUGAUUAGCACUAACCUUAUUUUUCGGUAGCUAAAUUUGUUACUAUUCGAGCAUUACUUGCUAUAAUAGUAAUAUAAACUAUAUUUUACAAAUAUAAUUAAGAACAUACUUUUUGUACCUGCAGCAAAGCGCGGGUCAUCACUAUUAUACCUCUAUACUAGGUGGGGCUAGCGUGUGGUCUCACUCUGCACCAUGCUCUACUUUACCCGAUGUACCUGAAGAACAGGCCCACACGGGUUGCGAAACUAUAAAAUUUUUCGGUGGGUGCAUCAAGCUAAUGAGGGCAAGUUGCACCAACCGAUCAACAAGAUAACAAUAAUGAUAGCGUACGCUGACAGAUAGAACGAGCAAGUAUAAAUAAUGAAAAUUAUAUAAAUAGCAUCAAGAUAUCUAUGUUUGGAUGAGUAUAUGUUUGUGGUUAAUCAUGCAUUAACUAGAACCAACUGUACUAACUGUACAAACUGUAAAAUAUCCAAUCAACAGGUGGUCCCACAGAAUGGUACUAUAAGCCCCAAUGCUGAAUUGUGGCAUAACAGCCGAAUCGCAACCUAAUGUAUCGAAUUGUGACUACUCUUUCCGGAGAGCUCAACCUACCACGAGGUUAAUCAAACCACUGUCGUGGUGACAGGGGAGCAAAGCAUCAAGUAGCACGUCAUCAUGCUGUAUGAUCAACAAUGACAAUAACAAUAGAAAAUGUCCAAUACAACUAUAACCAACAACAAUAGCAGCCUCUCUAGCUAAUGUGAGUUGUAUUGCUACUUCUAGUCCAUCGUGUCCUCAUGAAUUUGUCAAGAUUUAACUAACAUACUUGCUACGGUAAGUAAAGGCAACAACAAAGUGAAUAAAGCUAAGCUAUGUUAUAGUAAGUACCAAUUAUGAGGUUGUUAGGCAAAUACAUAUGUUAUCAUGAACCAAGAUACCAAUGGUAGACUACUACAUGAUUAUCAUAAUGACCAAUAAACCAAGAGGGGUUGAGAAGAAUGAAUUAGUUCACCAGGGAAUCACUAUAGCUUUGGUGCAUUUGUGACUCUUUGAUCCUUAUUUGGACCUACGGAGAGUGUAACCACAUCAAACACCAUCUUACAACAUGGUACAUGACCAAAAGAACACAUAAAAAACUAUGAUUGAAGCUUCUGGAGUUUCGUAUUUCGGUAAAUAGUGUUGAGGUUCCGGAACAUGGCAUGAGGUUCCAGAACCUUUGGCCCAAUUUCGUAGAACCGAAACAAUUUGCACUAUUUAAUUGAGCAGGUUUUGGAGCUAGAUCCUAGUUUCUGGAACCAGAGCUCUCAAACUGAGCUUUGGCAGUGGCAACCUCACGAAAUUCGCUAAGUAGUGAUGUCGAUUCUACUAGAAUCAACUUCAAAUCACAAGAUAUAAUGGAAAAGCUCCGAAGUGAGGUAAAAGAAGCAUGGAAAAUUCAAUGUCCUAGAUCAAUUUUUACGGUUUCAAGGUUAAAAUCGAUAACAACAGUUACUCUAUGAAAUCAUCCAAGAGAACCUCAAUUGAUCAUUUAGAAAAUCUCAAAGAAGGCCAGGAUUUCAACAAGACAAGCAUGAAUGCUCAGUCUUUGCAAGCUUACACAAGAAUGGUUUUGCAGAAUUCUUGGGUUUCAAGUACAUUUUUCUAAAUUGAACCGGAAGCAUUAUCAACACCCACGUAAAUCUUAAAACCAAGGGAAUACUCAAGAAUCAGCAAGAAUCACUCAAUAAGAUCAAGGAUCAAACAAUAACUCACCUAGAUCUUGGAGUUUCUCCCAACAAAAAAGCCCAAGAUUUAAUAUCCCCAUGUUGAAGCUCCUUUGCUCGGUUGCCCAGUCGAGAAGCUUGAGAGGGGAGAAAAUGAGGCGCUCCCCUCACUUUUCAAUGCUGGGGAGAGGGGCUCGGCCGAGGACAAAAGAGUAAGGAAAAG
rnacentral:lncRNA from 1 species